GAUGAACGCUGGCGGCGUGCCUAAUACAUGCAAGUCGAGCGAACAGACGAGGAGCUUGCUCCUCUGACGUUAGCGGCGGACGGGUGAGUAACACGUGGAUAACCUACCUAUAAGACCGGGAUAACUUCGGGAAACCGGAGCUAAUACCGGAUAAUAUAUUGAACCGCAUGGUUCAAUAGUGAAAGACGGUUUUGCUGUCACUUAUAGAUGGAUCCGCGCCGCAUUAGCUAGUUGGUAAGGUAACGGCUUACCAAGGCAACGAUGCGUAGCCGACCUGAGAGGGUGAUCGGCCACACUGGAACUGAGACACGGUCCAGAUUCCUACGGGAGGCAGCAGUAGGGAAUCUUCCGCAAUGGGCGAAAGCCUGACGGAGCAACGCCGCGUGAGUGAUGAAGGUCUUCGGAUCGUAAAACUCUGUUAUUAGGGAAGAACAAAUGUGUAAGUAACUAUGCACGUCUUGACGGUACCUAAUCAGAAAGCCACGGCUAACUACGUG
rnacentral:rRNA from 1 species